rnacentral:rRNA from 1 species
UGGGGAAUAUUGCACAAUGGGCGCAAGCCUGAUGCAGCAACGCCGCGUGAGGGAUGACGGCCUUCGGGUUGUAAACCUCUUUUAGCAGGGAAGAAGCGAAAGUGACGGUACCUGCAGAAAAAGCACCGGCUAACUACGUGCCAGCAGCCGCGGUAAUACGUAGGGUGCAAGCGUUGUCCGGAAUUAUUGGGCGUAAAGAGCUCGUAGGCGGUCUGUCGCGUCUGCUGUGAAAUCCCGAGGCUCAACCUCGGGCCUGCAGUGGGUACGGGCAGACUAGAGUGCGGUAGGGGAGAAUGGAACUCCUGGUGUAGCGGUGGAAUGCGCAGAUAUCAGGAAGAACACCGAUGGCGAAGGCAGUUCUCUGGGCCGUAACUGACGCUGAGGAGCGAAAGCGUGGGGAGCGAACAGGAUUAGAUACCCUGGUAGUCCACGCCGUAAACGUUGGGCGCUAGAUGUGGGGACCAUUCCACGGUUUCCGUGUCGCAGCUAACGCAUUAAGCGCCCCGCCUGGGGAGUACGGCCGCAAGGCUAAAACUUGAAAGGAAUUGACGGGGUCAUAGCUGUUUCCU